AUACGUAGGGGGCGAGCGUUGUCCGGAAUGAUUGGGCGUAAAGGGCGCGUAGGCGGCCCGGUAAGUCUGGAGUGAAAGUCCUGUUUUUAAGAUGGGAAUUGCUUUGGAUACUGUCGGGCUUGAGUGCAGGAGAGGUAAGUGGAAUUCCCAGUGUAGCGGUGAAAUGCGUAGAGAUUGGGAGGAACACCAGUGGCGAAGGCGACUUACUGGACUGUAACUGACGCUGAGGCGCGAAAGCGUGGGGAGCGAACAGGAUUAGAUACCCUGGUAGUCCACGCGGUAAACGAUGAAUGCUAGGUGUUGCGGGUAUCGACCCCUGCAGUGCCGGAGUAAACACAAUAAGCAUUCCGCCUGGGGAGUACGGCCGCAAGGUUGAAACUCAAAUGAAUUGGCGGGG
rnacentral:rRNA from 1 species